rnacentral:rRNA from 1 species
AAUUCGAUUAGAGUUUGAUCCUGGCUCAGAUUGAACGCUGGCGGCAUGCCUUACACAUGCAAGUCGAACGGCAGCACGGGAGCUUGCUCCUGGUGGCGAGUGGCGAACGGGUGAGUAAUACAUCGGAACGUACCCAGGAGUGGGGGAUAACGUAGCGAAAGUUACGCUAAUACCGCAUAUUCUGUGAGCAGGAAAGCGGGGGAUCGCAAGACCUCGCGCUCUUGGAGCGGCCGAUGUCGGAUUAGCUAGUUGGUGAGGUAAAAGCUCACCAAGGCGACGAUCCGUAGCAGGUCUGAGAGGAUGAUCUGCCACACUGGGACUGAGACACGGCCCAGACUCCUACGGGAGGCAGCAGUGGGGAAUUUUGGACAAUGGGGGCAACCCUGAUCCAGCCAUGCCGCGUGAGUGAAGAAGGCCUUCGGGUUGUAAAGCUCUUU